rnacentral:rRNA from 1 species
AGUGAACGCUGGCGGUAGGCCUAACACAUGCAAGUCGAACGGCAGCACAGUAAGAGCUUGCUCUUACGGGUGGCGAGUGGCGGACGGGUGAGGAAUACAUCGGAAUCUACUUUUUCGUGGGGGAUAACGUAGGGAAACUUACGCUAAUACCGCAUACGACCUACGGGUGAAAGCAGGGGAUCUUCGGACCUUGCGCGAUUGAAUGAGCCGAUGUCGGAUUAGCUAGUUGGCGGGGUAAAGGCCCACCAAGGCGACGAUCCGUAGCUGGUCUGAGAGGAUGAUCAGCGACACUGGAGCGGAGACACGGUCCAGACUCCUACGGGAGGCAGCAGUGGGGAAUAUUGGACAAUGGGCGCAAGCCUGAUCCAGCCAUACCGCGUGGGUGAAGAAGGCCUUCGGGUUGUAAAGCCCUUUUGUUGGGAAAGAAAAGCAGCAGGUUAAUACCCCGCUGUUCUGACGGUACCCAAAGAAUAAGCACCGGCUAACUUCGUG